rnacentral:rRNA from 1 species
GAUGAACGCUGGCGGCGUGCCUAAUACAUGCAAGUCGAGCGAACAGACGAGGAGCUUGCUCCUCUGACGUUAGCGGCGGACGGGUGAGUAACACGUGGAUAACCUACCUAUAAGACUGGGAUAACUUCGGGAAACCGGAGCUAAUACCGGAUAAUAUAUUGAACCGCAAGGUUCAAUAGUGAAAGACGGUUUUGCUGUCACUUAUAGAUGGAUCCGCGCCGCAUUAGCUAGUUGGUAAGGUAAUGGCUUACCAAGGCAACGAUGCGUAGCCGACCUGAGAGGGUGGUCGGCCACACUGGAACUGAGACACGGUCCAGACUCCUGCGGGAGGCAGCAGUAGGGAAUCUUCCGGAAGGGGCGAGUGCCGGACGGAACAACGCCGCGUGAGUGAUGAAGGUCUUCGGAUCGUAGAGCGCUGUUAUUAGGGAAGAACAAAUGUGCAAGUAACUAUGCACGUCUUGACGGUACCUAAUCAGAAAGCCACGGCUAACUACGUG